rnacentral:rRNA from 1 species
UACGUAGGGACCGAGCGUUGUCCGGAAUCAUUGGGCGUAAAGAGCGUGUAGGCGGCCACUUAAGUCCUGCGUGAAAUCUUGCGGCUCAACCGCAAGCGGUCGUGGGAAACUGGGUGGCUAGAGUGCGGGAGAGGAGAGUGGAAUUCCUGGUGUAGCGGUGGAAUGCGCAGAUAUCAGGAAGAACACCCGUGGCGAAGGCGGCUCUCUGGACUGACACUGACGCUGAGGCGCGAAAGCGUGGGUAGCAAACAGG